CGAUUCUGGCUCAGGAUGAACGCUGGCGGCGUGCCUAACACAUGCAAGUCGAGCGGAGAUAAGUUGAAGCCUAGCGAUUCUUAUCUUAGCGGCGGAUGGGUGAGUAACACGUGGGUAACCUGCCCUGUACUGGGGAAUAACAGCUGGAAACGGCUGUUAAUGCCGCAUAUGCGCACGGAGCCGCAUGACUCCGGGCGGAAAGAUUUAUCGGUACAGGAUGGGCCCGCGCCGGAUUAACUAGUUGGCGGGGUAACGGCCCACCAAGGUGAUGAUCCGUAGCCGACCUGAGAGGGUGACCGGCCACAUUGGGACUGAGACACGGCCCAAACUCCUACGGGAGGCAGCAGUGGGGGAUAUUGCACAAUGGGGGAAACCCUGAUGCCAGCGACGCCGCGUGAAGGAUGACGUAUUUCGGUAUGUAAACUUCUAUCAGCGGGGAAGAAGAUGACGGUACCCGACUAAGAAGCCCCGGCUAACUACGUGCCAGCAGCAGC
rnacentral:rRNA from 1 species